rnacentral:rRNA from 1 species
UACGUAGGGUGCAAGCGUUGUCCGGAAUUAUUGGGCGUAAAGAGCUCGUAGGCGGUCUGUCGCGUCUGCUGUGAAAACUCAGGGCUUAACCCUGAGCUUGCAGUGGGUACGGGCAGACUAGAGUGCGGUAGGGGAGAAUGGAAUUCCUGGUGUAGCGGUGGAAUGCGCAGAUAUCAGGAGGAACACCGAUGGCGAAGGCGGCAUCCUGGACCAAUAUUGACGCUGAGGAGCGAAAGCCAGGGGAGCAAACGGG